rnacentral:lncRNA from 1 species
UGUGCAACUACAGAGUUUCUCUGUUAAACAGUACCUUAUCAGCACACCUCGGAGUUAUAAAUAAACUUCGAGAAGUCAGCAUUUCACAUCGCAAGAGAGAAAACCGAAGAGUACAUUUAUUACCGGUACGCGACCAGCAGCCUGACAGUCAGUCAUCAGUAUGCGUAAACUCAUUCUGAUCACUUGCAUUGCAGCAGUUUUGCUGUGCAGUGUCUAUGAUGCAAAAGGCGAGCCCGAUCCUGUUCUUCCUGACUUUUGUGGAAAGUAUGGAAUUCUGCCGGCGUGCCCCCGCAUCUUAUGGCCCGUGUGUGCUAGCACUGGGACCACCUACGACAAUCUCUGCCUUAUGUGUGCCGACAUGUUAAGAGAGGAGAUUCCGACUUCAGUUACCUACACAACGGGUCGCUGCGCCACCGAUUAAUUGCUGUGUGGAUGACGACUUGGGGGAGGAAGUCUACGAGCUGACGACACUUACUAUAUAAUUCUAUUAAUAAAAAUGUCGCGUUGGACUCUUAAAAAAUAGUUAAAAAAAAACAUUUUAACUUUAUUCGGCGCAAAGUUUGAAAGAAAUUAAGGUACAUAAUACAGACCUUUAAUUUCUACUUCUUGCAGGAUUUCGGUUUCACACAUAAAACUAGAUCGAAUUAUUUCCUUUUCGUGGACUAAAUAACUCGGUAAAUGCAGAAAUUCUGUUAUCUACCGGAUGUUUUAGUAAGGAUUUUCCACUGAGUUCAGUUAAAUUAACGCGUAGAAUUAUUGGCAUUGAGCUUGAAUUCAUACUCUGGGGAAGAUGAUGUUCACACUGAUGAUUAAUGUCUGUGUGCGUUUCGUUUAUUUGUUUUUUUCGAUUUGAAACGAAAACCGAAUAUUGAAAGCAAUUUUUCUUUUCUGUUUUCAAUGUGAAACGGAAAGCAGUGUUGAAAACCGAGUCGUUUCUCGUUUGUAAUUUGAAGCAAAACGAUAGAAUAAGGUCGUUCCUCCUUCAAGAAACUUUAAACCUUUUUGUUUCUUUUUCAAUGUAAGAAUUAACAACAUUGUAAUCCAUCUAUGCACUUUUCGAAAAUUAAAGUGUAGUUGCAAUGAAGUUUUACUAGACACGAUUUUUGUACAACUUUGCACUCUUUUUCAGUGUAUGAAAACUCCUUUAAUGCACUGAAAAUUGCACGUUUCUAAAUAAUUAAAAUCAUCUAUGCUUUUCCACUGUGAAAUUAUCUAGAGAAGACAUGAUUUAGUGCAUAAGUGUUUCUGUUGAAAUUGUGAACCCAGAAUCUACUGACUCAAAACGUUUCUGAGCGAGAGAUUGAUGCUUUCUUAUUCCUAUGCACAUGAACAGCUAUGAAUCAGCAAAAAGGAGAAAAAUGAGUCCAGGAAACUCUACACAAAGGCAGGACUUUUUGUGUACAAACCAAUGUAUCACGGGCUUCGUCCUGAGAUGACAUCACAGUUUUGCUCAUGAAUAUGGAAAUAUCAUAAGCAUGACCAGUAAUUAUAUUCCCUAUUUUGUUCCUAUCAAGACAUAUUAAUUAACACUCACCACUUCAAUGGAACAAUCAUCCAUGAUGAGAAUGAGUAUUAAACACGCGCGCUCUUUGAACUUGUUUUCUAUGGUUCUCUUUUGUUUUCCAACAGAGGAGGGUUGGUUGGUCAAAAACGAAAUAAAUUCCUGAAAACAGUUUCAUACCGCUGCCAAAUGGAUGACUGAAUAAACCAGGCAAAGUGCACUAUACAUGCUUGUCACUUUA